CGAACAAGCAAAUUAAUAGCCUAUAUAAUGCCGAGAUAUGGUCGGCAGUUUCUACCCGGAGCCUUAAAUUCCGGACUAUAAGCGUUUCAAUACUUAUA
rfam:Lactobacillus oris PB013-T2-3 contig00063, whole genome shotgun sequence.